rnacentral:tRNA from 1 species
GGGCGGUUAGCUCAGCUGGUGAGAGCGCUGCCCUUACAAGGCAGAGGUCGGAGGUUCGAGUCCUCCACCGCCCA